UUCCUCGUGUUUCCUGAUCCUGCCCUGGGUCUGUAGUCAUACUUCUGGAAAUUCCUUUUGGGUCCAAGACUAGGAGGUUCCUCUAAGAUCUCAUGGCCCUGCUUCCUCCCAGUGCCCUCACAGGACAUUUUCUUCCCACAGGUGGAAAAGGAGGGAGCUACUCUCAGGCUGCGUGUAAGUGGUGGGGGUGGGAGUGUGGAGGAGCUCACCCACCCCAUAAUUCCUCCUGUCCCACGUCUCCUGCGGGCUCUGACCAGGUCCUGUUUUUGUUCUACUCCAGGCAGCGACAGUGCCCAGGGCUCUGAUGUGUCUCUCACAGCUUGAAAAGCCUGAGACAGCUGUCUUGUGAGGGACUGAGAUGCAGGAUUUCUUCACGCCUCCCCUUUGUGACUUCAAGAGCCUCUGGCAUCUCUUUCUGCAAAGGCACCUGAAUGUGUCUGCGUCCCUGUUAGCAUAAUGUGAGGAGGUGGAGAGACAGCCCACCCUUGUGUCCACUGUGACCCCUGUUCCCAUGCUGACCUGUGUUUCCUCCCCAGUCAUCUUUCUUGUUCCAGAGAGGUGGGGCUGGAUGUCUCCAUCUCUGUCUCAACUUUACGUGCACUGAGCUGCAACUUCUUACUUCCCUACUGAAAAUAAGAAUCUGAAUAUAAAUUUGUUUUCUCAAAUAUUUGCUAUGAGAGGUUGAUGGAUUAAUUAAAUAAGUCAAUUCCUGGAAUUUGAGAGAGCAAAUAAAGACCUGAGAACCUUCCAGAA
rnacentral:lncRNA from 1 species